rnacentral:rRNA from 1 species
AUGCUGAUUUGCUAUUGCACCACAUGUGUUUUUCUUUGAAACAAACUUGCUUUGGCGGUGGGCCCAGCCUGCCGCCAGAGGUCUAAACUUACAACCAAUUUUUUAUCAACUUGUCACACCAGAUUAUUACUAAUAGUCAAAACUUUCAACAACGGAUCUCUUGGUUCUCGCAUCGAUGAAGAACGCAGCGAAAUGCGAUACGUAAUAUGAAUUGCAGAUAUUCGUGAAUCAUCGAAUCUUUGAACGCACAUUGCGCCCUCUGGUAUUCCGGAGGGCAUGCCUGUUUGAGCGUCGUUUCUCCCUCAAACCGCUGGGUUUGGUGUUGAGCAAUACGACUUGGGUUUGCUUGAAAGACGGUAGUGGUAAGGCGGGAUCGCUUUGACAAUGGCUUAGGUCUAACCAAAAACAUUGCUUGCGGCGGUAACGUCUACCACGUAUAUCUUCAAACUUUGACCUCAAAUCAGGUAGGACUACCCGCUGAACUUAAGCAUAUCAAAAGCCGGAGGAA